UUAGUAGUUUUAAUUAUAGCUAUGUUUCUUAUUUUAAAAAGAUGAUCGUUGAGGUCCGUGUUGUGAUUUUGGCUGGAAGAUGGGCUUACAUGUAGGUUUAAGCGGGAGUUAUUUGAGAAAAAAAUAAAUUUUAAAAAGGGAAAAUCUCAGUAGAAAGUAUUAGAAAUAUACGAAUUAGUUCUAUCUAGGUAAUCAUAAAGGAGUGGAUGAUGGAGUGCCAGCAGCCGCGGUUAUACUUCUGCUCCAAGUUAAAAGUUAAUAUACAGAAUAGUUUUUAUGUAAGAAUAGAGUUAAGGGCUUCUUUUUACAUUAUUAAGUAGAAUUUUAAUGUAGAGUGAUAACAUAGAGGCAUAAAAGUAAGAAUUAUAGUAGGAACCAGGAUUAGAUACCCUGUUACUUAUAAGUAAAGAAUUCUGGAAUAGUAAUAUUGGAAAAAAUUUAACGGAUUUGGCGGCAAGAUAGCCAUUUAGAGGAACCUGCCCUGUGAACGAUGAGCCACGAAAACCUUACUUUUGUUAGUAUCCAGUUUGUAUACCGCUGUUGUCAGUCAGUUUCUUUAGAAAACUUUCGUUUAUGAUUUUAUCAUUGACUUCAAGUAAAGGUGCAGCUAAUACAAAAGAUAGAGGUGGGUUACAUUUAUAAGAAUAAAACGGAUGAAGUUCGUGAAAAGUCUUUUGAAGGUGGAUUUAAUUGUAAAGUUUAAGUAAACUUGAUGGGAGCUCUGUCUUGUGUACACACCGCCCGUCGCUCUCUUUCUAAAACGAGAUAAGUCGUAACAAGGUAAGUGUAAUGGAAAUUGUACUUG
rnacentral:ncRNA from 1 species